GACGAACGCUGGCGGCGUGCUUAACACAUGCAAGUCGAGCGGUAAGGCCCUUUCGGGGGGUACACGAGCGGCGAACGGGUGAGUAACACGUGGGUGACCUGCCCUCAGCUCUGGGGAUAAGCCUGGGAAACUGGGUCUAAUACUGGAUAUGACUCCACGGUGCAUGUCGUGGGGGUGGAAAGCCUUGUGCGGCUGAGGAUGGGCCCGCGGCCUAUCAGCUUGUUGGGUGGGGNGAUGGCCUACCAAGGCGACGACGGGUAGCCGGCCUGAGAGGGCGACCGGCCACACUGGGACUGAGACACGGCCCAGACUCCUACGGGAGGCAGCAGUGGGGAAU
rnacentral:rRNA from 1 species